rnacentral:rRNA from 1 species
UACGAAGGGGGCUAGCGUUGUUCGGAAUUACUGGGCGUAAAGGGAGCGUAGGCGGGUUAUCAAGUUGGAGGUGAAAGCCCAGGGCUCAACCUUGGAAUUGCCUUCAAAACUGAUAGCCUAGAGUAUGAUAGAGGUAAGUGGAAUUCCGAGUGUAGAGGUGAAAUGCGUAGAUAUUCAGAGGAACACCAGUGGCGAAGGCGGCUCACUGGUCCAUUACUGACGCUGAGGUGCGAAAGCGUGGGGAGCAAACAGG